AGAGUUUGAUCCUGGCUCAGGAUGAACGCUAGCUACAGGCUUAACACAUGCAAGUCGAGGGGCAGCAUGGUCUUAGCUUGCUAAGGCCGAUGGCGACCGGCGCACGGGUGAGUAACACGUAUCCAACCUGCCGUCUACUCUUGGACAGCCUUCUGAAAGGAAGAUUAAUACAAGAUGGCAUCAUGAGUCCGCAUGUUCACAUGAUUAAAGGUAUUCCGGUAGACGAUGGGGAUGCGUUCCAUUAGAUAGUAGGCGGGGUAACGGCCCACCUAGUCUUCGAUGGAUAGGGGUUCUGAGAGGAAGGUCCCCCACAUUGGAACUGAGACACGGUCCAAACUCCUACGGGAGGCAGCAGUGAGGAAUAUUGGUCAAUGGGCGAGAGCCUGAACCAGCCAAGUAGCGUGAAGGAUGACUGCCCUAUGGGUUGUAAACUUCUUUUAUAAAGGAAUAAAGUCGGGUAUGCAUACCCGUUUGCAUGUACUUUAUGAAUAAGGAUCGGCUAACUCCGUGCCAGCAGCCGCGGUAAUACGGAGGAUCCGAGCGUUAUCCGGAUUUAUUGGGUUUAAAGGGAGCGUAGAUGGAUGUUUAAGUCAGUUGUGAAAGUUUGCGGCUCAACCGUAAAAUUGCAGUUGAUACUGGAUAUCUUGAGUGCAGUUGAGGCAGGCGGAAUUCGUGGUGUAGCGGUGAAAUGCUUAGAUAUCACGAAGAACUCCGAUUGCGAAGGCAGCCUGCUAAGCUGCAACUGACAUUGAGGCUCGAAAGUGUGGGUAUCAAACAGGAUUAGAUACCCUGGUAGUCCACACGGUAAACGAUGAAUACUCGCUGUUUGCGAUAUACAGCAAGCGGCCAAGCGAAAGCGUUAAGUAUUCCACCUGGGGAGUACGCCGGCAACGGUGAAACUCAAAGGAAUUGACGGGGGCCCGCACAAGCGGAGGAACAUGUGGUUUAAUUCGAUGAUACGCGAGGAACCUUACCCGGGCUUAAAUUGCAGAUGAAUUACGGUGAAAGCCGUAAGCCGCAAGGCAUCUGUGAAGGUGCUGCAUGGUUGUCGUCAGCUCGUGCCGUGAGGUGUCGGCUUAAGUGCCAUAACGAGCGCAACCCUUGUUGUCAGUUACUAACAGGUUCCGCUGAGGACUCUGACAAGACUGCCAUCGUAAGAUGUGAGGAAGGUGGGGAUGACGUCAAAUCAGCACGGCCCUUACGUCCGGGGCUACACACGUGUUACAAUGGGGGGUACAGUGGGCCGCUACCACGCGAGUGGAUGCCAAUCCCAAAAACCUCUCUCAGUUCGGACUGGAGUCUGCAACCCGACUCCACGAAGCUGGAUUCGCUAGUAAUCGCGCAUCAGCCACGGCGCGGUGAAUACGUUCCCGGGCCUUGUACACACCGCCCGUCAAGCCAUGGGAGCCGGGGGUACCUGAAGUGCGUAACCGCGAGGAGCGCCCUAGGGUAAAACUGGUGACUGGGGCUAAGUCGUAACAAGGUA
rnacentral:rRNA from 1 species